CAGAAAAACUGCCUGGGAGAAGGACACAGAGUUGUGUCAAGUUGGCCAAGGACUUCAACACAGAGUGGCCUAUAGAAGUGGCCCACUGAAUUCUAUCUAGGGAGAUGGCUGUGAGAUGCAGAAAGAGAAGACGAAGACAGCUCUGAUAACCCCUUGAGUGAAUGAAUUACCUGGAUGAACUUUCUAGCUAUCUCGAGAAUCCAUUUCAGGCCACUGCGAUGCAGAGCUGGAGCACACACCUUCAUGCCAGUUUUAAUGGAUAAGUACCAAAUUCCAUGCAUUUUGUUGACUCCAAAAAAACUUGGUUAUUUUAAAGCUACCUGAGUUAAAACCAUCUGCAGGAUAAUUUGACUUAUCUGAAUUCCCUUUAUCUAGAAAUCCUAAUUAUCUGAAUGCACAGUGUGCCCCCCGUGUAGUGCUGUGUUAGUUAAUCACCCUCUGCGGAACUAACCUGAGGGCUGUGGGAGCUACGAUUUGGGAGGCUUUCCAGAGUUAGAGAUGAGGACAAGGAAAAAAGGAAAGAAUUAGGGAGAAGGUGGGGAGGAGAGAAUAGGUGGGGAGGGAGAGAAAAGCAAAUAGGCAAGAAAGAAACAGAUGAAGAGGUUAAGGUGAAGACUGAAAGGAGAAAGGGUCAGGGAGAGAAAGGAGAAAGGAAAAGACAGGACAGCAGUUAAGGGAAAGAGAACAGGGUAGGAGGGAGGAGAAUGAAGAGAGACAAAGGAGGGUGGAGGAGAGAAAAAGCUCAGUAUUUCCCCAUGACCUAUUAAUAUAGGGACUCUGUCUCCUCUCUGUCUUUGUGUCUCUUCUCUCCAGUGACACUGAGUUCCUGGCCAACCUUCAGCCAUGAGGAUUCUUUAUCUGCUCUUUGCUGUCUUCCUUCUGGUGCACCAGGGUGCAACAGAAUUCUCCCAGGCUCAGAAUCUCAACAGGAGAUGUGUACUCCGGGGGGGUACCUGUUUCUAUCCGAGAUGUCCCCCCUUUAUUAGGACAGUCCUUGGAAGAUGCUACAAAGGUGGCGUUUGCUGUGGAAGGGGACUGUAGUUCUGAUUGUCUAGGCAGGAUCUCUGGGAAUCUGGAAGACAGCCACUUGAUUCUAAACUCAUUGGAUCCUGCUUCAAGGAACUCUGAAGUGCUGUUUGUUUAGGUUCUAAAGAACCUUGUGAGCUAGAGAAAUUCCAGAAGGGAGCCCUUGUAUCCCCCCUAUAAG